rnacentral:rRNA from 1 species
CACGUAGGGCGCGAGCGUUGUCCGGAAUUAUUGGGCGUAAAGAGCUCGUAGGCGGCCUGUUGCGUCCGCUGUGAAAGCCCGGGGCUUAACCCCGGGUCUGCAGUGGAUACGGGCAGGCUAGAGGUAGGUAGGGGAGAAUGGAAUUCCUGGUGUAGCGGUGGAAUGCGCAGAUAUCAGGAGGAACACCAAUGGCGAAGGCGGCACUCUGGGCCGGUACUGACGCUGAGGAGCGAAAGCGUGGGGAGCGAACAGG